rnacentral:rRNA from 1 species
AACGAACGCUGGCGGCAUGCCUAACACAUGCAAGUCGAACGAUGCCUUCGGGCUUAGUGGCGCACGGGUGCGUAACGCGUGGGAAUCUGCCUUUCGGUUCGGAAUAACUCAGGGAAACUUGAGCUAAUACCGGAUAACGUCGCAAGACCAAAGAUUUAUCACCGAAAGAUGAGCCCGCGUAGGAUUAGCUAGUUGGUGAGGUAAAGGCUCACCAAGGCGACGAUCCUUAGCUGGUCUGAGAGCAUGAUCAGCCACACUGGGACUGAGACACGGCCCAGACUCCUACGGGAGGGAGCAGUGGGGAAUAUUGGAGAAUGGGCGAAAGCCUGAUCCAGCAAUGCCGGGUGAGUGAUGAAGGCCUUAGGGUUGUAAAGCUCUUUUACCCGGGAAGAGAAUGACGGUACCGGGAGAAUAAGCCCCGGCUAACUCCGUG